ACUUGAGAUGAUGACUGAUGUGAUAGCAAAACUUCAAGGGAAAGUUAAUGAAUCAAAUGAAUGCCUUGAGAAAACAAAAGAAAUGAUGCAAGCCCUUCAGGACAAGGCCGCUUUGGGAGCUAAACCUUAUAAAGAAGAAAUUGAAGAUCUCAAAACAAAGCUGGUCAAAGUAGACCUGGAGAAGAUGAAACUCACCAAGGAGUUUGAAAAGGAGAUGACUUCUGUAAAAGCCACCUUAGACUAUCAAAAAGAAGUUAUACGGGUACUGAGAGAAAAUCUUAGAAGAAAUCAACAGGCCCAAGAUA